CUUUUGAUUGUAAACUUUGAAUAUUUAAUACUGUUGGGAUCAUUAAUAUGUGCUAAUUGUUGCUCAAUUUGAAAUGAAUCAGUAUCUAUUAAUAUGAACUCAUAAAAGACGAACGCGGAGGAUGUUCCUGUCGCCAAGCCUAUUGGAAUAAAAUAAAGGAAUUUUAGAAGAAGAAAAUUAGUAAUUACUGCACUAAAAAAUAAUUAUUGUAGAAGUAAAAUCUAAAGUAGAUUUUGGUCCUAGGAUAAUAUUUCUCUCUCAUCUUCAAAAAUCCUAAUGAAUACUCCAACCAACCAAAACGUAAUAAAUAGUGUUAAUAUUCGUGCUAUCUCUAGUAAAAUUGCUAAAAUAGAAAGUGAUUUAUAGAAUUGGAAUAUUCCAAAAGAAAGUUUUAAUAGAGUAUAUAAAACUAGACACUUUGAUUUUGUAAAAAAUUAUAAUAUUAAAACUUCUGAAUCUACUGUUGUAAUUAAUAGAAAUAUUGAAACUAUUAAAUUAUUAGCAGUUGAAGAUAUUCCUAGAUAUAGAAAAAAUUACAAGUUCCUUCAUAUAGGUCUUGUUCAAGUAGCAGUUAAACCAUUAUAUAGAUUAGGUUUAGAUGUUGCUAUAUGUCUACUGUUAAGAGAUAAUUGGCUAUUAAAUUUUGAUGAUUGGUUAUUAGCAGUAUUACAAUGUAACUUCGCUAAUGUCCCGGUAUACUUUAAUUGUUAUCCUAAUUUUUCUAUAGCGAUUAAUGAUCAAAAUGUCAUGGAUGCAUUACCAUUAAAUGUUAAAACAAAAAACAUGAAUAGUUAGGUAAAUACAAGAUAAAUAGCAAUAAUAUAUAGAGUAUAUUACAGAUUAAUGAAAAUAACCUUAGCCCCUAAGGGUAAAAUAGUUAGUAAUAAAGGAGCUACCAUUCUUAUGGAAGCUAAUCACAAUCACAAUAAUACCUUUGUUUCGAAAAUGAUAAAAAGAGAUGAUGUAUCAAUAAAAGAUAAUUGGCAUUUCGACUCCAUAACUGAGCCAGAUAUAGAAGAAGAAAAUUCAAAUAUUGAACAAGUAGUACAUUAUCCAGAUGGAUCUAUAGAUUUAAAAUUUCUAAGAUCACAAUCCUUUAAUCAGGCAUCUUAAAAUAAAAGAAUGUCCUUUUCUAGACCUUCAAUCUCCAAAUCUGUAGAAGAAAGGGAAGUAACAUUAGAAGAUAUUGAAAGAAAAUUAAAAGGAGUUUAUUUCUCAAAAACAAUUCCCCAAGUAGAAUAUGUGUCUAAAAAUUUAAAAACUAAAAAAUCAAUAAGUCCCACUGCUAGUGAAAUGCUAGGAAUAAGAGAUUCCCUAUGCAUAAGUAGGUCAGAUAUAAUUUUUGAACCUAACUUUGACUAUUUAGAUAAAUUAUAGAAUAACCCAAAAAAUUCUAUCAACAAGGAAUGGUAUAAACAAAAAUAUUAUUAAAAGAAAGAUAUUCUUUUAGAGAAAAACGGUGCAAUGAUAUAAAAAGAUUAAGAUGUAAUAUUGAAUUUUUAAAAUGGUUUGAAAUCACAAGAAAAUUAGAUGAUAAAAAAGAUUCGUUAAAUAUGAUUGCUAAUAAAAGGAAUAUUACAAGUAAUAAAGUAAUAGAAUCAACAAUUUCCCUUAGAAGAAAUUAGCUUAUCAGUAGAGGGUAGAAUUGUUAUUGUCUUACCUUUUAAAUUAGACACAGUAGUUACUAAAUGUGAUCCUACAAAUAAGGAUAUAAAUAAGAUACGCCAAUAAAAUAAUUAUACAAAUCAAUUAUUACAUGUAGUAUCUAAACAGAUUCUCGAAGCCGAGAAUAAAUACUGUUUUAAAGAUAAAUCAAGUUCUUCUCAUUAUGAUACAAAGUUAUAAACUCAUCCAAUUUUUAAAUUAUCAGAAUUCUCAAAAGAUAAAUUUCCUAAAUUUGAAGAAAAGUUAGAAGUAGCCGACGAUAUUUUAAGAAAAAUUAAUGAAAGAUUAAAAAAUGAAUUAAAAGACACAAUUGACAAGGUUAUAAGAAAUUUAUCAGAAAGGAAUGGUGAUGAAAUAAACAAAUGUAGCUCUUAAUAUUCAGUGUAAAAGAAUUAUCAUCAAAAGUCCACAUUUUCGGAUAUCCAUUAUGAAGAAAAUAAAUUUUUAUCUCAUACUUCACAUUCUGAAAAAAGAAAUUGUCGAAUGGAAUAUAGAUGAAUUAACAGAACAUCAAAUAUAUAACAGACUACAUGAAAUGGGAAUGACCAUUACAACAUAUAAAAUUGCCAAGACGUCAGAUAAACAAGCAACAUGUAUAAUUAUAUCAGGUUUUACAGGUUCCAUAAAAUAUUGGUAGGGUAAUUACCUCACAGAUGACAAAAGACAAAGCAUUUUAAAUGCUACUACUAUUACUCAAACUAUUAAGAAUGAGUCAACAGGACAAAUAGUUGAAAAUCAAGUCUUAGAAGAUGCUACCGCCACUUUAAUUUAUAGCAUAGCUAAACAUUGAUAGGAGAACUUCAGCUUUUUCUAGAAAGAAGUUUAGAAAUAUUAUCAAAUUUAUCAUAUUCAAAGUUAGGUGAUUUUAGAUGGUGUAAAGACGUUUUCGUCUACAAAUUCAUGGUUAGAGAAGAUUUUCAUCAUGUUUAUUGGAAAGAAAAAUUUAUAAGUGGUUUAUCAGCUUUAUUUGUAGAAAAAGUUAGAACAAAAUUAAAAGAUAGAUUUGAGGGAAAAAUUCCUUAUUAUAAUUUAACUUAUGGUGAUAUUAUAAGUUUUAUAAAUGUCGCAGGACUAGAAUUAUGUUCAUAUAUUAAACUUAAAAAUAAACUUAAAAGGGAUAGUAAAAUAACUUGAAAUGAGCUAGGAAGCUUUUGUCAUGAUUUUGGUUAUAUAAAAUUAUCAUCCCCUUUAAAGGAAGCUACCAAAAAUAUUCAAACACAACAUAAAAAUUAUAAAGAUAAAUCCAAAAAUUCUCAUUAUUAUAAAAGACGAUUUAAGGGAUCUAAAAAAGCUUCUAAAGGUGAAAAUAAAAUCAAUAAUGAAACAUGUUGGAACUGCGAAAAAAUUGGACAUAGGGCUAAAGAUUAUUGGGUUCCAAAUAAAAAGAAAGACAAAAUAAAUAUGUUAGAAUUAAGAAAUAUUAUUAAAGAUAAAUUAUAUUCCAUUCUUGAUGAAAAUGAAAAUUGUUCUUUUAUUGAAGAAAAUCUUAGCAAUGAUAAUCAACUUAAUGUAGCAUAAAGUUUAGAUUGUAGUAAAUUAACAGACCAUUGUAAUUGUAGUGGUGCAAUUUUCACUUGCGACAGUCAUUCUAUAAGUGUUAUCACUAAUAAUAAUAAAGAAAAACUGGUCUUAUUUGACAUGAUAGGUCAUCUAGAGGACCCAACUCUCAAGAGAGAAUAUUUAAUAGCCUUAAAAGAUAUUGUUCUUGAUCAAUUGUCACGACCCAAAAGGCCAUGAGUGGCACCCACACUAACCUUCCUGUGGGAGAACCAUCUAAAUCAAACCAUUACUAAAUCACUUAGUCAGUAUUAAAAUGAUAUUUUCAUAAAACCAUCUUAACAAUAAUAAUCUGGAGUUAAUCAUCAGUAACGCAGAAACCAAACAAUCUACUUACUGAAAUUCCCAAGACCCAAAAUUCAUCGUACAAGAACUACUAACAAAGAUCAUAUCUAAAGUGAUAUAAAAAAAAUAAAGUAAAUAAAGAAUGUUUGAUUUCCCGAAAGAUGGAUAAGAACAAAAAAGAUGACCUAUGGCAGCUUAGAGACGGAGUGCUCACCCUUGGAUCAAGAUCUGCUAUCAAACUCUUGAGGUGAGGUCAUGUCUGAGCCUAGAACACUAUCUACACUCAACAAAAGAAGAGUACAAGGUAGUAUCAGUACAAACCAUUAUUACUAGUAAGUAUCAUAGGCCAACUCAAUUUAAUAGCAUGUACACAACCUAAAUUAAAUAACAAGUAGACAGGCAUCGUCACAUAACAAAUAUUCGAUGAAUCAACAGUACAGCAACAUCAGGUCAAACAGUACUCACAAACAAGCCACAAAACCAUCAAGAGUAUUAACCAUACUGUAAACAUCCACAGAAAUAACACAAAUAUGUAUACACAUGCUAUGAGACUUAGUUUUGCCCAAAUAGUCAUGACCUGUAGGUAACAAUCUAUGUUCAUGUAUCGUACCGGAGUGGUACCCAAUCCAACAUAAAUAUAAACGUACCAGCGUGGUACCCGAUCCAACAUAAAUAUAAACGUACCGGCGUGGUACCCGAUCCAACAUAAAUAUAAACGUACCGACGUGGUACCCGAUCCAACAUAAACAUAACCAAGUAGUAUCAAUAUCAAUUUACACACCCUUAUAGCAUGCCAGACAAUGUACCAAGUUUACAAGUACACUUAAAGUCAUAAGAUAAUUCCAUCAAGUCAAUUUUCAAUAAACAUUUAUACACAAAUCAACAAUCCAAACAUCAACAAUUUCAAGCAUGUCCGAAUACCAAUCCACAAGUAUCCAAUUUAGGAGCAUACACAUAAUUUAAUUGAGUCUAAACUCUAAUUAAACCGUAACCUACCUCAACCAACGAAUCCAAACGUAGUUAGUCCACAAGCGCCUUGCCCUUCCUCAAAGAUGAAGAACGUUCAAAAUCUGUUCCAACAUAAUAUAUACUCCCCGUAAAAAUACGAAUCUAAUAGCACCCGUUUAUAAAUUUUCUCUAAAAUUCUAAACCUAAAACCAAAAGGUUUCUAUUAAGAAGAUUGUAGUUGGUAACAAAUGCAUGAAAAAUUUUCCUAAGGACUAAUAUAACCAUGAAUAUGUACUGCUGGGAUUAAGAAAUCUUUACAUUAUCCACCUUUCCCCCUAUGUCAUCAUCGUAGGCCUAUGAUUAAAAAUCUUUACACAAUUAUUAGAAAAGAACAAGAUUUAUAUAACAUGGAUACCGAAUUCUAAAACAACAAUACAUUUAUUUAUGCACCACUGCCUAACAUCACACACCCUUAUAUUACUGUACACCACUUCCCAUGACAUGAUAGUUACCUAUUAGUAGAUAAAGCUUCAAUUCCACAACCUAAAUAGCCUAAUAUGUUCAUCAAUUUUCAUAGCAACGCCACUACAUCUUGUCGUUGUUAACUACUAGAAAAGAAGAUAAUUUCAAUAGAUUGGUUGCAAAUUGAUAAACUCGUUACAGUGGUACAUGUGUACACAUCUUAAUUCAAUGAAAAUCUAACCUGGAGUUUACACCGAGAGAUGAGAGAUUCUUUUUGAAAAUACAAUGGUGAAACCAUAGGUUUCAUGCCCCACUUCUUGCCCUAAUAUAUGAUGACAUUAAUAUUAUAAAUGAUAAACUUUAACCACUUAAUUUCAUUCUUAUACUAACUACAUAAGUAAAAUAAAUUAUUAUUUUAAUCUACUAAUUUAUUAAUUUAAUUUUUUAUCUAAUACCCAAAACUUUUAAUAAUGUCUCAAAAUUUGUUCACCACCCCAUAAAAAUAAAUUAAAUAAUUAAAUUGACUAAAAUGUAUAUUUCAGACCUAUUGAAAACAUUACGAUACUAAUCGGAUGUCAUCUCAACAAAAAUUGACCACGAUCGGAUUUACUUCAUCAAACCUCUAUAAUUCAAUGACUUAUUAAAUUACUACUAAACACUUUGACGAUUGGUACUAUCCUCCCCUGUCAGUCCUAAUUCAUGUGUACAAACUACGGAGAGCCCUAAAAUAAAGAUGAUGAGAAAAUUUCACAAACGACCAGGAGAGUCGUUACAUUAGAUACCAAUUAAACAACCGUUCGUCCCCGAACGGCCAAACAAGCGACAAGAAAGGAAACUAAAGAAUUAACUAAACCCUAAAAAAUAUGUGGAUACUUGCUACACAUGUCUGCUUCGGUCUUCCAAGUGGCCUCUUCAAUAGGAUGAUUCUUCCACUGGACUUUCACAGAUGCAAUCUCCUUUGUCCUCAACUUACGGACAACCAAAUACCUAGCUGAUCCUAUGCGUACCCCCAAUGCCCCAAACUAAAAGUUCAAUCAGUAUUCAACAACACAAGACAUAUUCUUCACCCAUACACAUGCAACUGUUCUAUACCGACUGAUAAAUUUAUGUGCAUACUGGUGAUAGGCGAUGCACAUAUAGGUAUGAAUGCAGGUACAAUCAAUAUCACAACUUAUCAUAACUAUCCUCAUCAGGACCAUUAUCAUCGUAAUCAACCUCCGACCUUGUACAAAAUCAACAUAUCAUCAAUAGUAUCCUCUGGCCUUGUCGGGUAUCAACAUAUUAUAAAUAUAUCCUCCGGCCUUACCGGGUAUCAAGAUCAUCACAACAUUUUCCUCCUUCCUUAUCGGAUAUAAACAUAUCAUCAUAAUAGUCAUUACCGAAUAACAUACAAUAAAAUGCUCAUAAAAAAAUAGUCAUAUCACCAUAGAAUAUCUAUCUAGUCAAUAGUUCCCAACUACUCUUUAUUAGUUAACCAACACUUAUUACAAUAGAAUCACUAGUUCACUAGUCAUCACAUAACCUCUAGUUAUUAGGUUAAACAUUAUCCUUCACAUAAUCCUUAUUUACGGGAUAGAAACUAACCACUAUUUAUUUAAUAACCAACAUCUAACAUCAAGUCAAAGUUUAUCACUAGACCAGAACCGUAAUUUAUCCGCUAUUCAGUUUUUUCAACUAAUCAUCCUAUAUCUGUUAAUCAUUAUUAAACAACACAUUACUACUUGUCACCUAAACAACUUUUAUUAACCGACACGAUUCAUUAGCUAACCAUCAUUUACCAACUAGUCCUUGCUUAAAUAUUCAUUAAUUUAACCAUUUAGCAACUAUUCAAAGUUAUUAACUAGUCACAUCUUAUUACCAAUAUCUCUUAUCAUCUAGCCUCAUUAACAUACAACUCCUCGUUCAUCGACUAAUCGACAUCACAAACUUAGUCAUCAAUACCAACUAUUCUUCAGUAAUGCUAGACUAGACCUCACUAUAAGUCACACAUUAACUAUCACUAGCUAUAAUAUUUCAACUAAACAAGAUUCAUUAACUAAUACAUUAGAUUCUUAGCCAUCAAGUGCUAUAGUCCCUUAAUAGACAACUAGUUACCACAUAGCUUAACCGUUAAUUAGGCAGAACAAUUGUAAGAUCAUGGUUUAGAUACAAUCACAUAAAUUACCAAUAUAAUACUCAUGAAUGUACCAAAUCUAUGCAUGCCAUGACCAAUAUCCAAUCAAUAAAGUCAUAAGCAACAUACCACAUCUUCCUCCAUCCCAUACCGAAGAGGUGUAUGCAAACAUAUAUGUAUUCAUAAACUGCAACAUACCCUUUACACUGAUAAACACUCCUCAAAUAUUCAAUCAUUAUCAUAACACGAUCCUUGGCCUAUUCAUUUAUUCGGAAUAGUCACAAUAUCAUAAUUACGACCUUAGGCCCAGAUACAUAUCUGGAACUCAUAUUGAUAAUCAUACUUAUAAGCUGUAGCAUAUCUCUAAUCAUCUCACAUAUAGGAGGUAUCUCACAUAUUAGAGGCGUAAUAUAGAUAGAAAUGUAACUGUCUAUGAGAUAUCUUAUUUUGAUAGGUCAUACAUCAUGACUACGAGGAAUAUCACCUCUCUAGGACAAUUUGCAUAUCUAAGAGGAACAUCAUCUCUAUUGGUCCAAUAAUCAUGACUAAAGGAAAUAGCAACUCUAUGAGUCAAUCAUCAAGCCUAAGAGAAAAUAGCAUCUCUAUGACACAUAACAUAUCUAGGAGGAAUAUCAUCUCUAAAUGACCAAUAUCACUUCCACAAAGAGUAUCAUAAUCACAAAUCAAAAGCUACAUUCUGCAAGCAUCAAUACAAGUUACCAAGUUACGAAGUAACCUUAUUCUAAGCUUUACUAGCCUCAUAUAUGUUUAAUAUUUGCAACUAAGUCCACUAGACUUAACACAAGUUUAGGACUAAGUGGACCUGACGAUUCCACUUCUAAUCCUCAAUUUCUAUAAUUAGUCACGCCAUGCCUCAAACUAGGCUAAGAUAUCUAGUUCAUCUUCUAGAUGUCAAGUAAGCCAUAUUUAAGCCUAAGAUAGCAACUUUGACUAGAAAUAAGGUACUCAAGUCAACUCUAACCAACUUAUGAUUUCAAGACUAUCGCACUAGCCCAAUAAGAGUAAAUAUACAAAUCAUGCUUCAAAUACUAAAACCACAUCCCAAAUAUAGGUUUACAUCAUAACUAUGCUACAACUAAUCUAAACUAGAGAGGGAAAAGCAAUAGGAUUAAAAAGGGGUAGAAACAUGCCAUUUUAUAGGUACUAUAAAAUUAGAGCCUACAACACAUUAUCCUCCAAAACAUUGAUAAUAUCCAUCUAAUCAUCAUACCUUAAUCACUCAACAAGAAUCUACACCAAGUAUCACUCAAAGAAAGAUCAAUCAUUCCAUUUAAGAAUUCAUUUAUUCUCCCAUUCAGGAUCAUCCUUAAUUAUGUUAUGAAUGUAACUAAGCCAUUUAAUUUUGCAUUACUAUUAUCUUGAAAAUUACUAUCCUCUAAAAGUGUCAUGUAUUAGCCAACCUUGUGGGACCUGCAAAAAUAUAGUUCAACCACAAGGACAAGUCAAUAAUAAUUUAUCUUCUCAAAAUUUUUCCUAAUGCAUAAAUCCAAAGCUACAACUUUUGUCCUGACAAUCACCAACUCAAUAUUUUUCAACGACAAAUGCUUUAUGGUCAAGACAAACCUCUCUUAUAUCACUAACACCAAUUUAAGAUAUACAGAGUCAUUCUUAUUUCUACUUAACAAUAUUUUUAUUACGGGCUUUACUUAACUCUUAAUCACCUCAAGAGUGGUCCCCACACCACUAACGCGUAAGCAAGGCCAAUCAAAAUAAAUUGAUUAUAGGUCAUUGACAGUCUCAUCACUAAUAUCGCAUUCUAGACAAGUCAUCGAUCAAAAUUCUAUGGGUAUCAACAACCUCUACUAGUUUUUGUCACCUUUAUUUAAAACUCAUUAUUUUUCCAAUCACUAAGAAUUCAUUUACAUAAGGAACUCAAAGAUAAUGUCACUUAGUUAGUCCUCGUAAGGAACCCAUUAUAAUUUCAAUAAUAGAACUGCACAAAAAUUCUAAAUAUGAUCUCAAUGUUCGAACCAUAUAAGGAUCCCUAAAUAAUAUCAAAUAAUCGAACUACACAAGGAUCCAUCCACAACAUCAUUAACAAGAACUUCUCAUUAUGAAAAAAAUAUAUCACCUCAGACUUUUAUUCAUGUCACUUUUCCACUAUCUUUUCUUGACAUCAUAGUCUCAUAUCAUCCUCUCAAUUCUCACACCAUCAAUCUCAUCAGUAUAAUAGUACAAAAAAUAAGUAAGAACCAUAGAAUUUUUAGUUUAACAACAACAAGAAAUCAAAUAAUCCAUCACACUUAUCAACAAAAAUAACUUAGUCAAUUUUCAUCACUUAACAAAAAUAUUUCAAAACAAUGACAAAAAUCUAGCAACACAAGUUUAGCAAAAUAUCAAACUCAAGCAAUCAAUAAGUUCACAACUUUCAUAAGUCUUUACCUAUUAACAAUAACUUUAAGACCUUAUUAAUAGAUACCAAUUAGAAUCUCAUAGAUUUUUAUUUAAAAUUAUUAAGAUACCAAUUGGACAUGUCAAGAUACUAAUUGGAUUGAAUCUAGUAGUCCAUGAUAAAGAUGGCACGAUGGAGAGAAAGAAAGAAAAUAACUUCUACAUGCCUCACAGCCUUACGAAGAUUGGGUUUGGGGCCCUACACACCAAUCUAUGAAACUCUACUUUAUAUUGCUCUUAUUAACAGAUACCAAUUGGAAUCGCCAGAUACUAAUUGAAUUCAAGUAAUAGCAUGUAAGAAAGAAGAAUUUGAAUCUUCCUAGUGUCCAUAGCCUCUCAAAGAAAAGUACAAACGUCUCUGUACCAUUUCGCAAGACUCUACUAGACAUAUUCUUGUACGAUGAGAUCGACAAACCUAGGGCUCUGAUACCAACUUUGUCACGACCCAUAUGGCCAUGAGUGGCACCCAUACUAACCUUCCUGUGGGAGAACCAUCUAAAUCAAACCAUUACUUAAUCACUUAGUAAGUAUUAAAUGAUAUUUUCAUAAAACCAUCUUAACAAUAAUAAUCUAGACUUAAUCAUCAGUAAUGCGGAAACCAAACAAUCUACUUACUGAAAUUCCCAAGACCCGAAAGUCAUCGUACAAGAACUACUAACAAAGAUCUUAUCUAAAGUGAUAUCCAAAAAUAAAGUAAAUAAAUAAUGUUUCAUUGCCCGAAAGUUGGACAAGAACAAAUAAGAUGACCCAUGACAGCCUGGAGACGGAGUGCUCACCCUUGGAUCAAGAUCUGCAAUCAAACUCUAGAGGUCAGGUCAUGUCUGAGCCUAGAACACUAUCUGCACUCAACAAAAGAAGAGUACAGGGUAGUAUCAGUACAAACCACUAUGUACUUGUAGGUAUCAUAGGCCAACUCAAUUUAAUAGCAUUUACACAAUUAAAUCAAUUUUAAACUCCAACUAAACUGUAACCUACCUCAACCAACGAAUCCAAACGUAGUUAGUCCACAAGCGCCUUGCCCUUCCUCAAAGAUGAAGAACGUUCAAAAUCUGUUCCAACAUAGUAUAUACUCCUCGUAAAAAUACGAAUGUAAUAACACCCGUUUAUAAAUUUUCUCUAAAAUUCUAAACCUAAAACCAAAAGGUUUCUAUUAAGAAGAUUGUAGUUAUUAACAAAUGCAUGAAAAAUUUUCCUAAGGCCUAAUAUAACCAUGAAUACGCACUGCUGGAAUUAAGAAAUCUUUACAUUAUCCACCUUUCCCCAUACGUCAUCAUUGUAGGCCUAUGAUUAAAAAUAUUUACACAAUUAUUAGAAAAGAACAAGA
rnacentral:lncRNA from 1 species